rnacentral:rRNA from 1 species
UACGUAGGGACCAAGCGUUGUUCGGAUUUACUGGGCGUAAAGGGCGCGAGUAGGCGGCAAUUCGAAGUCAGCUGUGAAAUCUCCGGGCUUAACUCGGAACGGUCAGCUGAUACUGCUUUGCUAGAGUGCAGAAGGGGCAAUCGGAAUUCUUGGUGUAGCGGUGAAAUGCGUAGAUAUCAAGAGGAACACCUGAGGUGAAGACGGGUUGCUGGGCUGACACUGACGCUGAGGCGCGAAAGACUAGGGUAGCAAACGGG